GAACAACAGGGAUUGCCUCAGUAACGGCGAGUGAAGCGGCAACAGCUCAAAUUUGAAAUCUGGCCCCCCGGGCCCGAGUUGUAAUUUGCAGAGGAAGCGUCGGGCGCGGUGGCCUUCCGAGUCCCCUGGAACGGGGCGCCGGAGAGGGUGAGAGCCCCGUACGGUCGGCGGCCAAGCCUGUGUGACGCUCCUUCGACGAGUCGAGUAGUUUGGGAAUGCUGCUCUAAGCGGGAGGUAGACCCCUUCUAAAGCUAAAUACCGGCCAGAGACCGAUAGCGCACAAGUAGAGUGAUCGAAAGAUGAAAAGCACUUUGGAAAGAGGGUUAAACAGCACGUGAAAUUGUUGAAAGGGAAGCGCUCGGGACCAGACGCGCGCCGGGGUGUUCCGUGGGCGUUCUCGCCCGCGCACUCGCCCCGGUGCGGGCCAGCGUCGGUUCGGGCGGGGGGAGAAAGGCGUCGGGAACGUGGCCCCUCCGGGGGUGUUACAGCCCGACGCGCCAUGCCCCCGCCGGGACCGAGGUACGCGUUCGCAAGGACGCUGGCGUAAUGGUCCCCAGCGGCCCGUCUUGAAACACGGACCAAGGAGUCGAGGUUUUGCGCGAGUGUCUGGGUGGCAAACCCGCACGCGUAAUGAAAGUGAACGCUGGUGGGAGCUUCGGCGCACCACCGACCGAUCCUGAUGUUCUCGGAUGGAUUUGAGUAGGAGCGCAGGGCCUCGGACCCGAAAGAUGGUGAACUAUGCUUGGAUAGGGUGAAGCCAGAGGAAACUCUGGUGGAGGCUCGCAGCGGUUCUGACGUGCAAAUCGAUCGUCAAAUCUGAGCAUGGGGGCGAAAGACUAAUC
rnacentral:rRNA from 1 species